AUACGUAGGUGACAAGCGUUAUCCGGAUUUACUGGGCGUAAAGGGCGUGUAGGCGGUCUUGCAAGUCAGAAGUGAAAUCCCUGAGCUCAACUCGGGCGCUGCUUCUGAAACUGCAGGACUUGAGUGCUGGAGGGGAUAGCGGAAUUCCUAGUGGAGCGGUAAAAUGCGCAGAUAUUAGGAAGAACACCGGUGGCGAUGGCGGCUAUCUGGACAGUAACUGACGCUGAGGCGCGAAAGCGUGGGGAGCAAACAGGAUUAGAUACCCUGGUAGUCCGUGCCGUAAACGAUGAAUACUAGGUGUAGGGGGUAUCGACUCCCUCUGUGCCGCAGUUAACACAUUAAGUAUUCCACCUGGGGAGUACGGCCGCAAGGUUGAAACUCAAAUGAAUUGACGGGG
rnacentral:rRNA from 1 species